AGCGAACGCUAGCGGGUGGCUUAACACAUGCAAGUCGAGCGGAGGCUUCGGCCUCAGCGGCGGACGGGUGAGUAACACGUAGGGAUCUACUCUUUGGUGGGGCAUAGCCGGGGGAAACCCCGAUUAAUACCGCAUGUGGCCUACGGGUCAAAGCCUUCGGGCGCCAGAGAAUGAGCCUGCGGCCGAUUAUUUAAUCCUAGUUGGUGGGGUAACGGCCUACCAAGGGUACGAUCGGUAGCUGGUCUGAGAGGACGAUCAGCCACACUGGAACUGAGACACGGUCCAGACUCCUACGGGAGGCAGCAGUGGGGAAUAUUGCGCAAUGGGCGAAAGCCUGACGCAGCCAACCCGCGUGGGUGAUGAAGGCCUUCGGGUCGUAAAGCCCUGUCGUGUGGGAAGAAACCUGACGGUACCACACAAGAAAGACACCGGCUAACCCCGUCGCCAGCAGCCGCGGUAAUACGGGGGUGCAAGCGUUGCUCGGAAUCACUGGGCGUAAAGCGUCCGCAGGCGG
rnacentral:rRNA from 1 species